GGUUAAGUUAGAAAGGGCGCACGGUGGAUGCCUUGACACUAGGAGUCGAUGAAGGACGGGACUAACGCCGAUAUGCUUCGGGGAGCUGUAAGUAAGCUUUGAUCCGAAGAUUUCCGAAUGGGGAAACCCACCAUACGUAAUGGUAUGGUAUCCUUAUCUGAAUACAUAGGGUAAGGAAGACAGACCCAGGGAACUGAAACAUCUAAGUACCUGGAGGAAGAGAAAGCAAAUGCGAUUUCCUGAGUAGCGGCGAGCGAAACGGAACAUAGCCCAAACCAAGAGGCUUGCCUCUUGGGGUUGUAGGACAUUCUAUACGGAGUUACAAAGGAACGAGGUAGACGAAGCGACCUGGAAAGGUCCGUCGUAGAGGGUAACAACCCCGUAGUCGAAACUUCGUUCUCUCUUGAAUGUAUCCUGAGUACGGCGGAACACGUGAAAUUCCGUCGGAAUCUGGGAGGACCAUCUCCCAAGGCUAAAUACUCCCUAGUGAUCGAUAGUGAACCAGUACCGUGAGGGAAAGGUGAAAAGCACCCCGGAAGGGGAGUGAAAGAGAUCCUGAAACCGUGUGCCUACAAAUAGUCAGAGCCCGUUAACGGGUGAUGGCGUGCCUUUUGUAGAAUGAACCGGCGAGUUACGAUCCCGUGCGAGGUUAAGCUGAAGAGGCGGAGCCGCAGCGAAAGCGAGUCUGAAUAGGGCGUUUAGUACGUGGUCGUAGACCCGAAACCAGGUGAUCUACCCAUGUCCAGGGUGAAGUUCAGGUAACACUGAAUGGAGGCCCGAACCCACGCACGUUGAAAAGUGCGGGGAUGAGGUGUGGGUAGCGGAGAAAUUCCAAUCGAACCUGGAGAUAGCUGGUUCUCCCCGAAAUAGCUUUAGGGCUAGCCUUAAGUGUAAGAGUCUUGGAGGUAGAGCACUGAUUGGACUAGGGGUCCUCAUCGGAUUACCGAAUUCAGUCAAACUCCGAAUGCCAAUGACUUAUCCUUAGGAGUCAGACUGCGAGUGAUAAGAUCCGUAGUCAAAAGGGAAACAGCCCAGACCGCCAGCUAAGGUCCCAAAGUGUGUAUUAAGUGGAAAAGGAUGUGGAGUUGCUUAGACAACUAGGAUGUUGGCUUAGAAGCAGCCACCAUUUAAAGAGUGCGUAAUAGCUCACUAGUCGAGUGACUCUGCGCCGAAAAUGUACCGGGGCUAAAUACACCACCGAAGCUGCGGAUUGAUACCGAAUGGUAUCAGUGGUAGGGGAGCGUUCUAAGGACAGUGAAGUCAGACCGGAAGGACUGGUGGAGUGCUUAGAAGUGAGAAUGCCGGUAUGAGUAGCGAAAGACGGGUGAGAAUCCCGUCCACCGAAUGCCUAAGGUUUCCUGAGGAAGGCUCGUCCGCUCAGGGUUAGUCAGGACCUAAGCCGAGGCCGACAGGCGUAGGCGAUGGACAACAGGUUGAUAUUCCUGUACCACCUCUUUAUCGUUUGAGCAAUGGAGGGACGCAGAAGGAUAGAAGAAGCGUGCGAUUGGUUGUGCACGUCCAAGCAGUUAGGCUGAUAAGUAGGCAAAUCCGCUUAUCGUGAAGGCUGAGCUGUGAUGGGGAAGCUCCUUAUGGAGCGAAGUCUUUGAUUCCCCGCUGCCAAGAAAAGCUUCUAGCGAGAUAAAAGGUGCCUGUACCGCAAACCGACACAGGUAGGCGAGGAGAGAAUCUAACGUGUGCGAGAGAACUCUGGUUAAGGAACUCGGCAAAAUGACCCCGUAACUUCGGGAGAAGGGGUGCUUUCUUAACGGAAAGCCGCAGUGAAUAGGCCCAAGCGACUGUUUAGCAAAAACACAGCUCUCUGCGAAGCCGUAAGGCGAAGUAUAGGGGUGACACCUGCCCGGUGCUGGAAGGUUAAGGAGAGGGGUUAGCGUAAGCGAAGCUCUGAACUGAAGCCCCAGUAAACGGCGGCCGUAACUAUAACGGUCCUAAGGUAGCGAAAUUCCUUGUCGGGUAAGUUCCGACCCGCACGAAAGGUGUAACGAUUUGGGCACUGUCUCAACCAGAGACUCGGUGAAAUUAUAGUACCUGUGAAGAUGCAGGUUACCCGCGACAGGACGGAAAGACCCCGUGGAGCUUUACUGUAGCCUGAUAUUGAAUUUUGGUACAGUUUGUACAGGAUAGGCGGGAGCCUUUGAAACCGGAGCGCUAGCUUCGGUGGAGGCGCUGGUGGGAUACCGCCCUGACUGUAUUGAAAUUCUAACCUACGGGUCUUAUCGACCCGGGAGACAGUGUCAGGUGGGCAGUUUGACUGGGGCGGUCGCCUCCUAAAGUGUAACGGAGGCGCCCAAAGGUUCCCUCAGAAUGGUUGGAAAUCAUUCGUAGAGUGCAAAGGCAUAAGGGAGCUUGACUGCGAGACCUACAAGUCGAGCAGGGACGAAAGUCGGGCUUAGUGAUCCGGUGGUUCCGCAUGGAAGGGCCAUCGCUCAACGGAUAAAAGCUACCCCGGGGAUAACAGGCUUAUCUCCCCCAAGAGUCCACAUCGACGGGGAGGUUUGGCACCUCGAUGUCGGCUCAUCGCAUCCUGGGGCUGUAGUCGGUCCCAAGGGUUGGGCUGUUCGCCCAUUAAAGCGGUACGCGAGCUGGGUUCAGAACGUCGUGAGACAGUUCGGUCCCUAUCCGUCGUGGGCGUAGGAAAUUUGAGAGGAGCUGUCCUUAGUACGAGAGGACCGGGAUGGACGCACCGCUGGUGUACCAGUUGUUCUGCCAAGGGCAUAGCUGGGUAGCUAUGUGCGGAAGGGAUAAGUGCUGAAAGCAUCUAAGCAUGAAGCCCCCCUCAAGAUGAGAUUUCCCAUAGCGUAAGCUAGUAAGAUCCCUGAAAGAUGAUCAGGUUGAUAGGUUCGAGGUGGAAGCAUGGUGACAUGUGGAGCUGACGAAUACUAAUAGAUCGAGGACUUAACCAU
rnacentral:rRNA from 1 species